rnacentral:rRNA from 1 species
CCUACGGGUGGCUGCAGUGGGGAAUAUUGGACAAUGGGCGAAAGCCUGAUCCAGCCAUGCCGCGUGUGUGAAGAAGGCCUUCGGGUUGUAAAGCACUUUCAGUGGGGAAGAAAGCCUUGGGGCUAAUACCCUCGAGGAAGGACAUCACCCACAGAAGAAGCACCGGCUAACUCCGUGCCAGCAGCCGCGGUAAUACGGAGGGUGCGAGCGUUAAUCGGAAUUACUGGGCGUAAAGCGCGCGUAGGCGGUCUGAUAAGCCGGUUGUGAAAGCCCCGGGCUCAACCUGGGAACGGCAUCCGGAACUGUCAGGAUAGAGUGCAGGAGAGGAAGGUAGAAUUCCCGGUGGAGCGGUGAAAUGCGUAGAGAUCGGGAGGAAUACCAGUGGCGAAGGCGGCCUUCUGGACUGACACUGACGCUGAGGUGCGAAAGCGUGGGUAGCAAACAGGAUUAGAUACCCUGGUAGUC